GCCGGGCGUGGUGGCGCAUGCCUGUAGCCUCAGCUACUUGGGAGGCUGAGGUGGGAAGAUCACUUGAGCCCAGGAGGUUGAGGCUGCAGUGAGCUGUGAUCAUGCCACUGCACUUUGGCCUGGGCAACAGAGCAAGAUUCCAUCUCAA
ensembl:misc_RNA Metazoa_SRP Metazoan signal recognition particle RNA